rnacentral:tRNA from 1 species
CGAGGCAUAGCUCAAUUGUAUAGAGCAACGGGGACUUCUAAUCCGUAGGUUGAAGGUUAGAAUCCUUCUGUCUCGA